CACGUAGGAGGCAAACGUUAUCCGGAUUUAUUGGGCGUAAAGCGCGUGUAGGUGGUUCUGUAAGUAGGGCGUGAAAGCUCCUGGCUCAACCGGGAGAGGCCGUUCUAUACUGCAGAGCUAGAGGAUGGUAGAGGGAGGUGGAAUUCCAGGUGUAGCGGUGGAAUGCGCAGAUAUCUGGAGGAACACCAGUGGCGAAGGCGGCCUCCUGGACCAUUCCUGACACUCAGGCGCGAAAGCGUGGGGAGCGAACGGGAUUAGAUACCCGGGUAGU
rnacentral:rRNA from 1 species